rnacentral:ribozyme from 14 species
CUUUUACUUUUACUUUUACUUUUAAUUUUGCUUUGGAGGGAAUAGCUUGAAAAACAAAAAGAGUAACUUUUUUUACAAUUUUUAAUUUAUGACAGUAUCUUUGUUUUUUUCCUUCUGCACGACAAUGAAU